ensembl:lncRNA
UCCCUCUCUAGUGGAAAUCUUCUCCUGUAAGGGAUAGAAAACAAACAACCUUUCUCUGCUACACCUUACUAACUUACUGUGUUCAUCUCAGGUUCCUGUCAUUAUUCAAAGUUGGUUCACAAUAUCAUGUUCUAGGCUCUAUCCAUUAUAUUAACUUGACUUAAUCUCAAUACUCUUUAUGUGUGUGAGCAACGCUUUCAGUUUUCUUAAACACACCCCGAGUAAAAUACACACCAUCCCCCUGUCAGCCUAAAUCUCCGCUAGAAAGCACACUUCAAAAUUUUCUAUCAGGAUUUACCCCUCUUUUGGCUUCAAGCAUAUACAUAACAUGCAAAAGUUACUGUUAAUGCCAGUUAGACAAGUUUCCAUUAUCUACAACAUUUUGUUUCACCCGGCUCACCCUCACACGUUUCCUGUUCACUUAUUGCAUAUAUUCAUCUCUAACACCUUUUACCUCAUUAGUUGCUAAGCAGAAACAAAGCAACAUGUGUUUCACCUUUACCCUGUAAAAUAAAUCUAUAUCAUGUUUGUGUCUGUAAGCAUAUUUUGCAUUCAUUCAUUACACUCCACGCCAUUCCUGCAAGUUAGGAGCUGUAAAGUUAAAAGCUACAUAAAGUCCAGGCCUUCGGCCUGGCCUAUAUUUAAAUCAUGUGUGUUUGUAAGCGUGCAUGCAAUUAACCUGCUAUGUUCUCAUCUUCCCUCAACAUGUAUCUCCUGGACACUCUCACCAGUGAAGCUUAAAACCCUCUUGGAUAGAACAUCAACUCUAAACAAGCACAGAUAUGCAAUGUGUAUAAAAUGAACUAAACCUGUGAAUAGAAUGAAUGUGGUGACAAACAUAUUCAAUGCAAUAUGAACCCUGUAAACAAUAUUACUGAUAAACAAUGCUGUAAAACAUGUUCUUAAUGCAAUCAUAAUAAUGCAGAUUAUAUAAUAGGAAUAAAAGAAUUUCUGAAUCCCCACCCAGGGUUUGCAACCCUCGCCAUUAUCUUUACCAACCAUCCUCUGACACAAGGAAUGAUACAACAACUAGCGAUGACCAAUAUUCCCAAAAAUACAGUCAAAGAAAACAUCACUGACACUUGCCAAGUUUACUUAGCCACACCUUUCCAUUGUCCAAACACAGAUGUCAUCCAGGACGCCAGCAGAUUUUCGAUACCUGAGUGCUCAUGCAUGGUUUUAGACAAUUCGAUUUUGCUCUCCCGUCAGUGAACUCGGACCUAAUUGUUCUGCGAACCCCAUCAUGGCGUCCCUGGUUUGGUUAGAGAGUCUCAGCAGGUUGUAAUGAACAUAAUGUGGCCAACAUUUUUAUUAGGCGUUACCCAAAGAAAUAUACUCUCCAAUCCUGCAACUACCUGACUUACCAGCUUGCACUCAUUAGGAACUCCCCUGGGCACUCCUAUGGAGUCUGUCCAGGUCGGCGAGUUCAAACGAGGAUCAUAUGCAUGGGUAGCCUGGGUCCCUCUUUUGGCCAAAAUGUAUCUCUUACG